AGGACGAACGCUGGCGGCGUGCUUAACACAUGCAAGUCGAGCGAGGCCCUGUCUUCGGACAGGUGCCCUAGCGGCGAACGGGUGAGUAACACGUGGGCAACCUGCCCCUAGCACUGGGAUAACUCCGGGAAACCGGGGCUAAUACCAGAUAUGACCUCCGAGGGCAUCCUCGUUGGUGUAAAGGAUUCUGGCUAGGGAUGGGCCCGCGGCCUAUCAGCUUGUUGGUGGGGUAACGGCCUACCAAGGCGACGACGGGUAGCCGGCCUGAGAGGGCGACCGGCCACACUGGGACUGAGACACGGCCCAGACUCCUACGGGAGGCAGCAGUGGGGAAUAUUGCACAAUGGGCGAAAGCCUGAUGCAGCGACGCCGCGUGAGGGAUGACGGCCUCGGGUUGUAACCUCUUUCAGCUCCGACGAAGCGAAGUGACGGUAGGAGCAGAGAAGCACCGGCCAACUACGUGCCAGCAGCCGCGGUAA
rnacentral:rRNA from 1 species